rnacentral:rRNA from 1 species
UACGUAGGGUGCGAGCGUUAAUCGGAAUUACUGGGCGUAAAGCGUGCGCAGGCGGUUGUGCAAGACAGAUGUGAAAUCCCCGGGCUUAACCUGGGAAUGGCAUUUGUGACUGCACGGCUAGAGUGUGUCAGAGGGGGGUAGAAUUCCACGUGUAGCAGUGAAAUGCGUAGAGAUGUGGAGGAAUACCGAUGGCGAAGGCAGGUCUCUGGGCUGACACUGACGCUCAUGCACGAAAGCGUGGGGAGCAAACAGG